CAAUGUAAUCCAACAGAGCGUCUGUAUCAUGUGAAAUUGGUCGAUCAAAACAAUAAUUUCAUCUGUGGAGGCUCUCUGAUCAACGACCAGUGGGUUCUGACUGUGGCUCACUGCUGGAAGUCAGGAUUAAAAUUGUCAGUCAUUUUAGGAGUGCAUCCAGGUCCAGGAGAGAAAGUGGACAUAACUACAGAACCUGCGAUCUUCAAAAAGAGGAUCCAUGAUAUUAUGUUACUGAAGCUACCGGAAGGAACAAAAAUUCCAGCUAUUAUAGGUCUUGCUAACUGCAAUGCAAAACCAAGAUUGGGAGAUGAGGUGCAGAUUGCAGGACAUGCCUCCACCCACAUGGGCAACAACAAAGAAAGAG